AUGCAAACGCGUCAUGUGAUCUCGGGAGCGCGCUCUGCAGGUAGAACAGGUAACGCGUCUUUCUGCUUCAGGAAACACUUCAGAUCGAAAACAACAACUGAAACUUCAUCGAUGAGAAGACACCAUGAAAUAUCACUCUUCACGGCCUCUUGUCAGUCUGUCAUUAUGGAGAUCAGAGAGAGAUCUUCAUCUCCAGAUCACACCAGAGAGACUCUGAGGAGCCACAGAUCCAUGAAUCCUCCUGAAUCCAGUGAUGAUCCAGUGACCUCUGACCUCAGGAUCUGCAGUCAGAGAUCUUCAUCUCCUGAUCACAGCUGUGUGUCUCUGAAGAGUGACAGAUCCAUGGACUGCUUUAUGGGAGUCAGAAACACACUCAAUACACACAGACACUCGACACAAUGAGCACACAAGCUCCUACAUUAACAAACUUCAGGAGCGCAAUGAAAAUGUAAUAAAUAUGUAUGAAAUGCCA
ensembl:lncRNA